GAUCUUUCUCCCUCCCCUCCAGAACCCUCCACAUUCUUCCGACGCUCCAAGUUCCUCUUUCAUGGCGUCCGAUCUCGAAUCCAAGGCUAAGGAAGCAUUUAUCGACGACCACUUCGAACUUUCCGUCGACCUCUACACUCAGGCCAUCGCUCUUAGUCCGAAGAAAUCCGAGCUUUAUGUUGACCGCGCUCAGGCCAACAUCAAACUGGGUCAUUACACUGAGGCUGUUGCUGAUGCUAGCAAAGCAAUUGAAC
rnacentral:misc_RNA from 1 species